GACGAACGCUGGCGGCGUGCCUAAUACAUGCAAGUCGAGCGAAGUUUUUCUGGUGCUUGCACUAGAAAAACUUAGCGGCGAACGGGUGAGUAACACGUAAAGAACCUGCCUCAUAGACUGGGACAACUAUUGGAAACGAUAGCUAAUACCGGAUAACAGUAUUUCUCGCAUGAGAGAUAUUUAAAAGUUGGUUAUGCUAACACUAUGAGAUGGCUUUGCGGUGCAUUAGCUAGUUGGCGGGGUAAAGGCCCACCAAGGCGACGAUGCAUAGCCGACCUGAGAGGGUGAUCGGCCACACUGGGACUGGGACACGGCCCAGGCUCCUGCGGGAGGCAGCAGUAGGGAAUCUGCCGCAAUGGGCGAAAGCCUGACGGAGCAACGCCGCGUGAGUGAAGAAGGAUUUCGGUUCGUAAAGCUCUGUUGUUAGGGAAGAAUGGAUAUGUAGUAACUAUACAUGUAAGAGACGGUACCUAACCAGAAAGCCACGGCUAACUACGUG
rnacentral:rRNA from 1 species